ensembl:lncRNA MUC20-OT1 MUC20 overlapping transcript
AACCUUUGCUGUCUUGGGACGGAUCACCGCUGCAAGAGGGGAAGUUGCUACUGUGAUGAAUUCUGCCAUGUGGCACCAGACUGCCACCCAGACCACAGUGUCCUCUGCAACCCUGGUCAAAGGUGCCUACAUGCUCCUUCUAGCUUUGUUUCCCUGAUGUUCCUUGCCACCUGCUACUCCUCUCUGAGCUACUUUUCCAGCUUCUCAGAUGACCAAGAUGGUGCUGCAGAUGGUGCUGAGGAUGGAGAACCCACCAAGCCCCGCUAGGAGCCACCUAGACUGGAUGCAGAGCAUGGCUAAAACCUUUGAAGAAGAAUUUAUUAUAUCCUACAAACCUGGGAGGCAGAGGUUGCAGUGAGCCAAGAUUGGGCCAUCGCACUCCAGCCUGGGCAAUAAGAAUGAAACUCUGUCUCAAAAAAAACAAAAGUUGGCCAGGGCUGGGCGUGGUGGCUCACACCUGUAAUCCCAGCACUUUGGGGGGCUAAAGCAGGUGGAUCACCUGAGGUCAGAAGUACGAGACCAUCAUGGCUAAUAUGGUGAAACCCCAUCUCUACUAAAAAUACGAAAAAAGAAAAAAAAAAU